rnacentral:rRNA from 1 species
UACGUAGGGUGCGAGCGUUGUCCGGAAUUAUUGGGCGUAAAGAGCUCGUAGGCGGCUUGUCGCGUCGGAUGUGAAAGCCCGGGGCUUAACUCCGGGUCUGCAUUCGAUACGGGCAGGCUAGAGUUCGGUAGGGGAGAUCGGAAUUCCUGGUGUAGCGGUGAAAUGCGCAGAUAUCAGGAGGAACACCGGUGGCGAAGGCGGAUCUCUGGGCCUGUCCUGACGCUCAGGCGCGAAAGCUGGGGGAGCGAACAGGAUUAGAAACCCGGGUAGU